rnacentral:rRNA from 1 species
GAACGGAAAGGCCCUGCUUGCAGGGUACUCGAGUGGCGAACGGGUGAGUAACACGUGGGUGAUCUGCCCUGCACUUCGGGAUAAGCUUGGGAAACUGGGUCUAAUACCGGAUAGGAACCAUCUUUAGUGUGGUGGUUGGAAAGUUUUUUCGGUGUAGGAUGAGCUCGCGGCCUAUCAGCUUGUUGGUGGGGUAAUGGCCUACCAAGGCGGCGACGGGUAGCCGGCCUGAGAGGGUGUACGGCCACAUUGGGACUGAGAUACGGCCCAGACUCCUACGGGAGGCAGCAGUGGGGAAUAUUGCACAAUGGGCGCAAGCCUGAUGCAGCGACGCCGCGUGGGGGAUGAAGGCCUUCGGGUUGUAAACUCCUUUCGCUAGGGACGAAGCUUUUUGUGACGGUACCUAGAUAAGAAGCACCGGCUAACUACGUGCCAGCAGCCGCGGUAAUACGUAGGGUGCGAGCGUUGUCCGGAAUUACUGGGCGUAAAGGGCUCGUAGGUGGUUUGUCGCGUCGUCUGUGAAAUUCUGGGGCUUAACUCCGGGCGUGCAGGCGAUACGGGCAUAACUUGAGUGCUGUAGGGGUAACUGGAAUUCCUGGUGUAGCGGUGAAAUGCGCAGAUAUCAGGAGGAACACCGAUGGCGAAGGCAGGUUACUGGGCAGUUACUGACGCUGAGGAG